GAUGAACGCUGGCGGCGUGCCUAACACAUGCAAGUCGAACGGAGUCCAGCCUUUAAGACCUUCGGGUCAAAGAGGGGAAGACUGAGUGGCGGACGGGUGAGUAACACGUGGGCAACCUGGCUCAUAGAGGGGGAUAACAGAGAGAAAUUUCUGCUACUACCGCAUAAGCACACACUGCCGCAUGGCAGCGGGUGAAAAGAGAAUCGCUAUGAGAUGGACCCGCGUCUGAUUAGCUCGUUGGCAGGGUAAGCGCCUACCAAAGCGACGAUCAGUAGCCGAUCGGAGAGGAUGAACGGCCACAGUGGGACUGAGACACGGCCCAAACUCCUACGGGAGGCAGCAGUGGGGGAUAUUGCACAAUGGGGGGAACCCUGAUGCAGCGACGCCGCGUGAGUGAAGAAGUAUUUCGGUAUGUAAAGCUCUAUAAGCAGGGAAGAUAAUGACAGUACCUGAAGAAGAAGCCCCGGCUAACUACGUG
rnacentral:rRNA from 1 species